rnacentral:rRNA from 1 species
AACGCGAAGAACCUUACCUGGGCUUGAACCGCUACUGACCAGCGGUAGAAAUAUCGCCUUCUCGCAAGAGACAGUAGUAGAGGUGCUGCAUGGCUGUCGUCAGCUCGUGCCGUGAGGUGUUGGGUUAAGUCCCGCAACGAGCGCAACCCUUACCCUUAGUUGCUACCCGCAAGGGAGAACUCUAAGGGGACUGCUCCGGAUAACGGAGAGGAAGGUGGGGAUGACGUCAAGUCAGCACGGCCUUUAUGUCCAGGGCUACACACGUGUUACAAUGCAUGGUACAGACCGUCGCAAACCCGCGAGGGGGAGCUAAUCGGACAAAGCCAUGCUCAGUUCGGACUGCAGUCUGCAACUCGACUGCACGAAGCCGGAAUCGCUAGUAAUGCCAUAUCAGAACGAUGGCGUGAAUACGUUCCCGGGCCUUGUACACACCGGCUAC